rnacentral:lncRNA from 1 species
CCACCAGUGUGCAGCCCCCCACCUGGAUGAUGCGCCAGUCCGCUCCCCCCCCACACCAGCUCUCAGUUGGGGAGGAGGAGGAGGGCAAUUGCGCCUCGAAGACGAGGACUCCAGGUUCCCUGUGCACCUCCGCAACCACAGGCGACUACAGAGUUGAGACUGGCUGAAUCCGCCUCUGCCGAGGCUCCUUUCCUGAGAUUUUCCCACGUAUCCGAUGAGAGUCGGAUAACCCUCGGCCAUCCGAUCCGCGCCCUGCGCCGCUGGCCUGUUGCAGGUCAGCUGGGGGAAGGUGUCCGAGGAGCAGGCCCACCUUGGCGCACCAGCGUCUUCAUCCGCUCCCUCGUUUGCGUUGGGCGAGGCGUGGACAGGGUGGGUGAAUUGAGUUGCUCCAUGCAAGCCCCCCGUCAUCCUGGUGGGAAUCCCAUCGGCCGCACCCCAUCGGAGGGGUGGCCGUGACCCCCCCCAACGGAGGCCAGACCUUCAACGCGCCUUGCUAGGUUUCACAUUCACCGCUUCAGUGCCCCCCCCCAGAGAGAGUGGUCCACUGGCCCCGUUGAAGAGACGGCAGCGCCCGCGCCUGAUGCAGCUCUCCUGAGGGUCGAGGUGACCAGGCUGAGCUCCUCUGCCUCCGCUGCGGGCUCGCAGGGCUGUGCGCCCCCUGCAGCUCGUCGGCCGGACGAGCGACUGCAGACCCCCUCUCGGCGAUCCCCCGCUGGUGUCUCCUGGCGUGACUGGGGGCUCGCGAUGGAUCCACGGUUCAGGGGAUCCA